AUCGAACGCUGGCGGCAGGCCUAACACAUGCAAGUCGAACGAGUGGCGGACGGGUGAGUAAUGUCUUGGAAACUGCCUGACGGAGGGGGCAGACUACUGGAAACGUUAGCUACUAGCGCAUACCAUCCGAUGUGCCCACGUGGGAUUAGCUAGUAGGUGGGGUAAAGGCUCACCUAGGCGACGAUCCCUAGCUGGGCUGAGAGGAUGACCGGCCACACUGGGACUGAGACACGGCCCAGACUCCUACGGGAGGCAGCAGUGGGGAAUAUUGGGCAAUGGGCGAAAGCCGGACGGAGCAACGCCGCGUGAAUGAAGAAGGCCUUCGGAUUGUAAAGCUCUUUCGGCGGGGAGGCGUUACCCAACUAGGAAGCAACGGCUAACUCCGUGCCAGCAGCCGCGGUAAUAC
rnacentral:rRNA from 1 species